UACGUAGGGGGCAAGCGUUGUCCGGAUUUAUUGGGCGUAAAGAGCGUGUAGGCGGUUUGGUAGGUCCGCUGUGAAAGUCGAGGGCUCAACCCUCGAAUGCCGGUGGAUACUGUCGGGCUAGAGUGCGGAAGAGGCGAGUGGAAUUCCUGGUGUAGCGGUGAAAUGCGCAGAUAUCAGGAGGAACACCUAUUGCGAAGGCAGCUCGCUGGGACGCAACUGACGCUGAGACGCGAAAGCGUGGGGAGCAAACAGG
rnacentral:rRNA from 1 species